rnacentral:lncRNA from 1 species
GUUUUUGUUUUUUAUCAUGUCUUAUAAUGUGUUCAGAGGAGAGAAAUAUUUCUUUUGUAUUGUUUUGGCUUUUUACAUGCAGUUAUUUUAUCGAUAUAGGAAAAUGACUAUGUAUAUUAAGGAACAUGUUCAGUUUUUGUUUUAUUGAAGUGUAAGUGGAUGUUAUAUAAACCUGACAUCGUCACUUCACUCAACCAGACCUAGAUUUAACUUUAGAAUUUCUUUAAAUAGGGUCAAUUUAUGAGAGGUUUAUUGAAGAAAAAAAAGAAACAUUCCUUUUAUUAAAGAAUUCAGUGUUAACCUUGAAUAAACUUUACUACGUGUCUUUUUAUGCCCCACCUACAAUAGUAGAGGGGCAUUAUGUUUUCUGGUCUGUGCAUCCGUCCGUCUGUUUGUUCGUCCAGUUUCAGGUUAAAGUUUUUGAUCCCAAUUUCACGUUCCACUGAACCUAAAAAAUGAUAGUGCGAAGUUCAGGUUAAAGUUUUUGGUCAAGGUAGUUUUUGAUAAAGUUGAAGUCCAAUCAACUUGAAACUUAGUACACAUGUUCCCUAUGAUAGACAAGACAGGACAAGACAAUAUUUUUUUUUGAGUCUCACCUCUUACAAAACAUUUACAUAAUAUUACAAUUUUCAAUAUAAAACAAGAGCCACUCUAAAAAGAGUUAUGAGAGACUAUAAAAAAUGGUAUAUACAUUUACAUAUAUAUAUAUACACGCAUAAAAUAUAAAACAUGAAACUAAUUAAAACUAUACAAAUUUUAAGAAUAUAAUAAACAUUUUCUUUUCAGUAAAAUAUCAUAGCAGAUUUUGGCAGUAUAAAAGUAAACAUUUUUAUCACUAAAUAAAAAUACAAAUUUAUCGUCAUCUGACAUAUUAUGAAAAUCAUGACAAAAAGAAUUAGCAUGACUAAAACAACACAGCACGUAAAUCUGCAUAUAGUGGACAUUUCAAAUUUACAUGUUUCCCAUCUUCUAUGGUAUCAUUACAACUAAAACAUAUUCUUUUAUUAAUAGGUAUGUUCUGAUACCGGCCCAUUUUCAAUUUUUAGGGGCGCAACACCACAGUAAAAUUUUGCAAAAUCACUUCUAUAUUUCCCUGCAAUAGUUUUACAAAUGUAAUUUUCUACCUUAAAUUCUGUUUUAAAUAAUUUAUAAGAACGUAGUAUGGCAUAUUCUUUCAAAACCAACUUAUGCCAUGAUCUUUCUAAUUUAAAUGCCAAAUUAAAGUUUUGACCCCAAUUUCACAGUCCACUGAACAUGGAAAAUGAUGGUGCGAGUGGGGCAUCUGUGUACUAUAGACACAUUCUUGUUAUUUCUCAUUUUUCUACCAGUUCAACACUAAAAAAAAAUGGUUUUACUCUGAUUGUUUUCUUAAUUUUGAUUUAUUUUAUUUGUUUAAUGAGAUACAAUAUUUAAAAUGAUGUUACUCAUUAUUACCUUAUGUUUUAAUUUUAGUCCUUC